rnacentral:misc_RNA from 1 species
GAUGAAGAACGUAGCGAAAUGCGAUAAGUAGUGUGAAUUGCAGAAUUCAGUGAAUCAUCGAAUCUUUGAACGCACAUUGCGCCCCUUGGUAUCACGAGGGGCAUGCCUGUUCGAGCGUCAUUUCACCACUCAAGCCUGGCUUGGUGUUGGGCGACGUCCCCUUUAGGGACGCGCCUCGAAACGCUCGGCGGCGUGGCACCGGCUUUAAGCGUAGCAGAAUCUUUCGCUUUGGAAGUCGGGGCCCCGUCUGCCGGAAGACCUACUCGCAAGGUUGACCUCGGAUCAGGCAGGGAUACCCGCUGAACUUAAGCAUAUCAAUAAGCGGAGGA